GGAGAGUUACUCAAGUGGCUGAAGAGGACGGUUUCGAAAACCGUUAGGUGGACUAAAAUCCGCGCGGGGGUUCGAAUCCCCCACUCUCCA
rnacentral:tRNA from 1 species